AACAAGGAUUCCCCUAGUAACUGCGAGUGAAGCGGGAAAAGCUCAAAUUUAAAAUCUGGCGGUCUUUGGCCGUCCGAGUUGUAAUCUAGAGAAGUAAUGCCCGUGCUGGACCGUGUAUAAGUCUCCUGGGAUGGGGCGUCAUAGAGGGUGAGAAUCCCGUCUUUGACACGGACUACCAGUGCAUUGUGGUAUGCUCUCAAAGAGUCGAGUUGUUUGGGAAUGCAGCUCAAAAUGGGUGGUAAAUUCCAUCUAAAGCUAAAUAUUGGCGAGAGACCGAUAGCGAACAAGUACCGUGAGGGAAAGAUGAAAAGAACUUUGGAAAGAGAGUUAAACAGUACGUGAAAUUGCUGAAAGGGAAACGCUUGAAGUCAGUCGCGUUGGCCAGGGAUCAGCCUUGCUUUUGCAUGGUGUACUUUCUGGUUGACGGGUCAGCAUCAAUUUUGACCACUGGAAAAGGGCCUGGGGAAUGUGGCAGCUUCGGCUGUGUUAUAGCCCCUAGUCGCAUACGGUGGUUGGGAUUGAGGAACUCAGCAC
rnacentral:rRNA from 1 species